rnacentral:rRNA from 1 species
AUUGAACGCUGGCGGAAUGCUUUACACAUGCAAGUCGAACGGCAGCACGGACUUCGGUCUGGUGGCGAGUGGCGAACGGGUGAGUAACAUAUCGGAACGUAUCCAAUAAUGGGGGAUAACGAGUCGAAAGAUUCGCUAAUACCGCAUACGCCCUACGGGGGAAAGCUGGGGACCUUCGGGCCUGGCGUUAAUGGAGCGGCCGAUAUCUGAUUAGAUAGUUGGUGAGGUAAAGGCUCACCAAGGCGACGAUCUGUAGCUGGUCUGAGAGGACGACCAGCCACCCUGAAACUGAGAAAGGGUCCAGACUCCUACUGGAGGCAGCAGUGGUGAAUUUUGGACAAUGGGCGCAAGCCUGAUCCAGCCAUUCCGCGUGAGUGAGGAAGGCCUUCGGGUUGUAAAGCUCCUUCGCAAGGGAAGAAAACUUGGCCACUAACAUUGGUUGAGGUUGACGGUACCUUGAUAAGAAGCACCGGCUAACUACGUGCCAGCCGCCGCCGUAA